rnacentral:snRNA from 10 species
AUCGCUUCUCGGCCUUUUGGCUAAAAUCAAGUGUAGUAUGUUCUUAUCAGUGUUAUCUGUUGCUUAAAAACUUCAUCAAGGAUUUCAUUGUCUGCUGAUGGAACUGCGACAAG